rnacentral:rRNA from 1 species
GACGAACGCUGGCGGCGUGCUUAACACAUGCAAGUCGUACGGUAAGGCCCUUUCGGGGGUCCCCGAGUGGCGAACGGGUGAGUUACACGUGAGUAACCUGCCCACAACUUUGGGAUAACGCUAGGAAACUGGUGCUAAUACUGGAUAUGUCCUACUGCUCCAUGGUGGGGGUUGGAAAGCUCCUGCGGUUGUGGAUGGACUCGCGGCCUAUCAGCUUGUUGGUGGGGUAGUGGCCUACCAAGGCGGCGACGGGUAGCCGGCCUGAGAGGGUGACCGGCCACAUUGGGACUGAGAGACGGCACAGACGCCGACGGGAGGCAGAAGUGGGGAAUAUUGAACAAUGGGCGCAAGCCGGAUGCAGCAACGCCGCGUGCGGGAUGACGGUCUUCGGGUUGUAAACCGCUUUCAGCAGGGACGAAGCUUUUUGUGACGGUACCUGCAGAAGAAGCACCGGCUAACUACGUG